rnacentral:rRNA from 1 species
GACGAACGCUGGCGGCGUGCCUAACACAUGCAAGUCGAACGGGGUCCAUGGGAGCUUGCUCCCGGAAGACCUAGUGGCGAACGGGUGAGUAACACGUGAGAAACCUGCCCUGGAGUGGGGAAUAACUCGGGGAAACUCGAGCUAAUACCGCAUACCCUCGGAUGGUCGCAUGGCCGACCGAGGAAAGAUUCAUCGCUUCAGGAGGGUCUCGCGGCCUAUCAGCUAGUUGGUGGGGUAACGGCCUACCAAGGCAACGACGGGUAGCUGGUUUGAGAGAACGAUCAGCCACACUGGGACUGAGAUACGGCCCAGACUCCUACGGGAGGCAGCAGUCGAGAGGCUUCGGCAAUGGGGGAAACCCUGACCGAGCGACGCCGCGUGGGCGAUGAAGGUUGUAAGAUCGUAAAGCCCUGUCAGGAGGGAAGAACUGCCAAUGGGCAAACAGGCCAUUGGUUUGACGGUACCUCCAGAGGAAGCUCCGGCUAACUCCGUGCCAGCAGCCGCGGUAA